CAGCAAGGAGGCGGGAGCGCGCCGUGGGUAGAAGUACAGAGCAGAGCCGGCGGCUGGGGGCUUUAGAGGCCAGCCUGUUCCCUGCAAGCGUUCAGCAGGCGGAGCCUCGCUCUUGGAGACCCGGCUUCGUAAAGCUGGCGGCCUCGAGAACCUGCAAAGAGUCAGUUUUUAGUGAAAAAGCAUUGAGACAGGAGCCAGACCCACCUCUUCACUAAUUUGAUAUUGUGCAAGUCAUCUUACCUCUCUGGAUCUCAGUUGCCUCAUCUGUAAAAGGGAGAUAGAAAUUCUUUACCUGUUUGAAGGAAGGAGAACCUCUUGCAGGGCCGGAAAGUGGGCUCUUAUCUAGCACUCGGAAAUGAAUUGCCUGAGGAGACACUUGAGCUGACAAAGCAAGAGAUUUUAUUGGAAAGGGAGCCCAAGGGGAGAGCAGUAGGGUAAGGGAACCCAGGAGAACUGCUUUGCCACAUGGCUCUGAGUCUUGGGUUUUAUGGUGAUGGGGUUAGUUUCCGGGUUGUCUUUGGCCGGUCAUUCUGACUCAGAGUCCUUGGUGACACGCGCAUUGCUUAGCCAAGAUGGAUGCCAGCAAGAAGGAUUCUGGGAGGUGGUCGGACACGUGGUAUCUCAUUUUGACCUUUCCUGAACUCUUCUGAUUGGUGGUGGCUUAUUAGUUUUGUGUUUGUUACUAGGACCUCCUGUCCUAAAACAGCUCAUGCAAAUGGUUACUAUGGUGCCUGGCCAGGGUGGGCAGUUUCAGUCAGUGUGCUUCCCCUAACACACUGAUAUUAAGACACACCAUUUUAUACCAUAGAAAAUACAUAUUGCCCAUAAAACCGAGUUCUUUAUCACUUAGAAUUUCAUUCUGUGUUUACCGAAAGUGCUUUUCAAGAUAUAUUUAAACAUACAGAUUUUUCUUACAUUGCAUUUGCAGAUACAUUAAGAAAUUUAAAGAAGCUAAAUAAAUCAGUUAAGGUAUUUCUAAGACUCUUUCACAUUCAUAACCUAAGUCUUCUGAAAUGCUUCCUUGAUUCAGAAUUGUGAAUGUUUGUGUUUUCCCACAUGACAUUUUCCUUUCUACUGUGGAGAGUGAUGGUGAUUUAAUUCUAGGAGUUUCUUUAAAACCAUUUGCCUGGAAUUUUCUUCCAAGCCUCUGACCUUCAUUUUGCAAGCUUUGAUGCCAGUGCAUUCCUGAAGAUGAUCAUCAUCUUACAAGCUUUGAUGCUGGCGCUUUUCAAAAGAUGAUGAUGGGAAGUUGUCAGAUUCAUCUUCUUUCCCCAGUCCCUCCAUCAGUGGUUUAUUUACCAGUGGUUACAGUUUGUCUAGACAUGGCAUCAGAAAUAACAUCCAGUUGGGAUACCUUUCAGGUAACCUAUUCUUCAAAUAUUCAGGUAUGCAGCCUCAGAAUGCAUCCAGAACUAAAUUCACACACUUGAAAGGCUACUAAAGGCUCUUGGACAUUCAAGCCAGCUUUAGUUAACCUUCCUUUCCUAGCCAUAAUCCCUCUUUCACAUGUAACAUUUUUGGGAAAUUCUUUUGUAGUUUAAAAUUUAAUAUGGCAAGAACUUUUGGCCAUAGAUGCCUAUGCCAGUGUUACAGUAAUAUGCUAUUUCCUGUGCAGCUCAUUCUUGGAGUAUCAGUCUCUUUAGCACUUUUAGCAUUACUGUAUCCUUUUGAGGCCUGUAAAAGAGCAUCAGGAUUUUUUCAGCAUUUCCUGUUGACUAAAUUCAUCUUUGUUGUUUUUUCCUCAAAAUUACUUGGAAGUUAUGUGGCUUCUGUUCAUUGUUGGUUGGAAGUCUCUGACAAGUUGACAUUUGCCUUAGCGAUUCAUGAAUCCAGC
ensembl:lncRNA